UUUGUUGCCCAGAUAAAUAUUCAGCGCUGCUUCUGCCUCUGGCUCUGGCAUAGCCACUUCCUCUGCGGACUUUCCAUUUGCUAGUAUAUCGAUACCCUGCAACUACAAUAGGAUAGCAAGGCCCACGCCGAAACCGACUUAUCACGUCCGGUUUUAUUAUUUUUAUUAUAUAAAAAAUAAUAUAUGAAAACUAUUAAAUGUCACAACACAGAGGGAGAAUAAGCGACCAAGUAUAGAAAAAAGCACGAGAAUAAUUAAAGUGGAAAUUAAACAUUUAAUCAGCAGAAAUGUAUCAAAGGAAAAAGAAGGGCAUGAGACCCUGUCAUGUCUGGAAAACCGAAUUGAAUACUCCACGUGUGCCACCGUGACAUUAAAUGCCCAUUCUAUGAACUCAUUUAAGGAGUUCCAGUCGCUUCAGACCAGUUCCUUAGUUUCAAGGAUGUCGCAGGGCAUUGAAUAACUUACCUGGAGCGUACUCAAAAAACUCUUUGCCUUCUAACGAAAGCUAACACAUGUGCAUGCGUAGUAAUCACCGGCGUUGCAGUAAUCAUAAUAUUAAUCGGAAUAAUAGUCGAGGUGACAAAUACAAUGAUGAUUGAUAACGGAUAAAUAUAGAGAUAAAAAACUAACCGAAAUCGAUUCAAGAAAAAUGGGACAACAAAAUUUGAUUGUUUUUAAAUUGUUUAAUAGAUUUCAUAUAUUUUUUUGUUAAAUAUACGAAUUUUUCCUAA